UUCAUGUUCAUGUUGCGGUAGAUGAUGAAACAGUUAGAGCCAAGUCUGUUCAACCCCAAUAUUUAGGGAGGAGUAAUGGUUGACUGGUUGCGUGCAUUCGGAAGGGAUUGACGCUAGUUUGGGAAGGUAAUUGAGAGUUUGGUUCGAAAAAUGAUAAUAAGAAAAAGUUCUACAUACUUGGAUGUGAUGAUACUUAUUUCGAUUUGUCUGAUGCUGAUGUUUUUCCAAGAGAGCCAGUUCACGAGAGGCACAACCGCAUGUUGUUUUGAUGUUCUCCGGUUGGGCUGAAAUUUUCAGCGUUUGUUUGUCUAUUCAAGGUAGGAAGUUUUACUGAGUAUAAAACGGCCCUUGAAAAUGAUAUGUCCAAAAGCGUUCAAAUACUAACAACAUUUCCUCCUAGACUUGAUGGAUUUUUCUAAAAAUUUGUGGUAAUAUUCUACACUAAGAUUACUUCAAAAUGCAUGGUCACAAUAUAUAGCAAAGAGGGGCAUCCUACUCUUCUCAACAUCGCUGUUUAUGGACGUGCCCUGGCUACCAAGAUUGAGUGCAUCCGAUAAGUCACCCAGUGAAGGAACUCAUUUCAUCGCGCAACAGCCGAUAGAUUACGGAGAGUGAGAAUUAAAAUUAUAUUUUGUAUGUGUUAAUUUGGAGAGUUGAGUGAGAGAAAUAAAAGAGUUAG